rnacentral:rRNA from 1 species
AUUAGACGAAUCAUCUGGAAAGAUGAAUCAAAGAAGGUAAUAAUCCUGUAGUCGAAAAUGUUGUCUCUCUUGAGUGGAUCCUGAGUACGACGGAGCACGUGAAAUUCCGUCGGAAUCUGGGAGGACCAUCUCCUAAGGCUAAAUACUCUCUAGUGACCGAUAGUGAACCAGUACCGUGAGGGAAAGGUGAAAAGCACCCCGGAAGGGGAGUGAAAUAGAACCUGAAACCGUGUGCUUACAAGUAGUCAGAGCCCGUUAAUGGGUGAUGGCGUGCCUUUUGUAGAAUGAACCGGCGAGUUACGAUUUGAUGCAAGGUUAAGCAGUAAAUGUGGAGCCGUAGCGAAAGCGAGUCUGAAUAGGGCGUUUAGUAUUUGGUCGUAGACCCGAAACCAGGUGAUCUACCCUUGGUCAGGUUGAAGUUCAGGUAACACUGAAUGGAGGACCGAACCGACUUACGUUGAAAAGUGAGCGGAUGAACUGAGGGUAGCGGAGAAAUUCCAAUCGAACCUGGAGAUAGCUGGUUCUCUCCGAAAUAGCUUUAGGGCUAGCCUCAAGUGAUGAUUAUUGGAGGUAGAGCACUGUUUGGACGAGGGGCCCCUCUCGGGUUACCGAAUUCAGACAAACUCCGAAUGCCAAUUAAUUUAACUUGGGAGUCAGAACAUGGGUGAUAAGGUCCGUGUUCGAAAGGGAAACAGCCCAGACCACCAGCUAAGGUCCCAAAAUAUAUGUUAAGUGGAAAAGGAUGUGGCGUUGCCCAGACAACUAGGAUGUUGGCUUAGAAGCAGCCAUCAUUUAAAGAGUGCGUAAUAGCUCACUAGUCGAGUGACACUGCGCCGAAAAUGUACCGGGGCUAAACAUAUUACCGAAGCUGUGGAUUGUCCUUUGGACAAUGGUAGGAGAGCGUUCUAAGGGCGUUGAAGCAUGAUCGUAAGGACAUGUGGAGCGCUUAGAAGUGAGAAUGCCGGUGUGAGUAGCGAAAGACGGGUGAGAAUCCCGUCCACCGAUUGACUAAGGUUUCCAGAGGAAGGCUCGUCCGCUCUGGGUUAGU